AUAGGCAAAACCAAGACGAUGUCUCACAGCUCCUUGACCUUGAAUUUGAGUGAAGAAAGCAGUUCAUCGAUUCAGAGACCCUCAAGGAAGCCGACAGACCUGGCAAAAUCCUUGAGGCCUACUCAUGCUUCAAGAACAUAGACCAUGUUCUUGAGGAGCUGAGACGAAUAGUGGCGAAGGAUAACGUGCAUUAUGUGAAAGAGCCGAAGGAGUGCUGGGCAGACUACAGAACCAAACUGUCCUUUUAUAGUGUCUAUAAGAAGGUCCUGAAGCCACCGGUUGGACUUCCUGUUGAUGAGCAAGCCAUUGACCUGAUCAUCUCCCUGCCAGAUAUGUUUCCUUCUGGUUACCCCGCACCAAAGAAGAUGUCAUCUCCAUCAGAGGCGUUCAUUCAUGUUCUGCAGCCCACAGAGGCCCCAGACGUCUAUCUGAGAAGACGGCCACAAGCCACACCAUUUAUCAUGGUUAGAGAGGAGGACUGCUUCCUCUGCGCCGGAAAUGCCCCUGUUGGUAGGAGCAGUCUUGCUGAGUCGGUCCUGUACGUCAUGGCGUACAAUUACGCAUUUCACAUGACGUAUCCAAAAUGUGUGUCAUCGGUUCUGUUUUUCCUUCAGACUUAGGUCUUGGGUGAUGCGAUUCAUGAGAAAGACCAAACUGCAGCUUUUAAACGUGCCAAAGCUGACUGGUAGACCUUUCUUAGGUAGUGUGUAUGAGAGAUGAAUGCUCAAGUUCAUUGUUUGAAUAGUUAAGGGCAACAGAUGUGUGUGUUCAGGCCCUGUCUCGAUGCUGCAACAUCAUCUCUUCAUUGUUAGGCCUGCCAGUCAGCUUUUGCACAUUGU